rnacentral:rRNA from 1 species
UACGAAGGGGGCUAGCGUUGCUCGGAAUCACUGGGCGUAAAGCGCACGUAGGCGGAUCCUUAAGUCAGGGGUGAAAUCCUGGAGCUCAACUCCAGAACUGCCUUUGAUACUGGGGAUCUUGAGUCCGGAAGAGGUGAGUGGAACUCCGAGUGUAGAGGUGAAAUUCGUAGAUAUUCGGAAGAACACCAGUGGCGAAGGCGGCUCACUGGUCCGGUACUGACGCUGAGGUGCGAAAGCGUGGGGAGCAAACAGG